rnacentral:rRNA from 1 species
AUUGAACGCUGGCGGAAUGCUUUACACAUGCAAGUCGAACGGCAGCACGGACUUCGGUCUGGUGGCGAGUGGCGAACGGGUGAGUAAUACAUCGGAACGUGCCCAGUCGUGGGGGAUAACGUAGCGAAAGCUACGCUAAUACCGCAUACGAUCUAAGGAUGAAAGCGGGGGACCGUAAGGCCUCGCGCGAUUGGAGCGGCCGAUGGCAGAUUAGGUAGUUGGUGGGGUAAAGGCUCACCAAGCCGACGAUCUGUAGCUGGUCUGAGAGGACGACCAGCCACACUGGGACUGAGACACGGCCCAGACUCCUACGGGAGGCAGCAGUGGGGAAUUUUGGACAAUGGGCGCAAGCCUGAUCCAGCCAUUCCGCGUGCAGGAUGAAGGCCCUCGGGUUGUAAACUGCUUUUGUACGGAACGAAAAGGCUCUGGUUAAUACCUGGGGCUCAUGACGGUACCUGCAGGAAAAGCACCGGCUAACUACGUGCCAGCCGCCGCAGUAA